rnacentral:rRNA from 1 species
UACGAAGGUGGCAAGCGUUGUUCGGAUUUACUGGGCGUAAAGGGAGCGUAGGUGGUGGGGUAAGCCCCGCGGGAAAGCUCCAGGCUUAACCUGGAAAGGUCGCGGGGGACUGCUCCGCUCGAGGACGGGAGAGGAGCGCGGAAUUCCCGGUGUAGCGGUGAAAUGCGUAGAGAUCGGGAGGAAGGCCGGUGGCGAAGGCGGCGCUCUGGAACGGCCCUGACACUGAGGCUCGAAAGCCAGGGGAGCAAACGGG